rnacentral:rRNA from 1 species
AGUGAACGCUGGCGGUAGGCCUAACACAUGCAAGUCGAACGGCAGCACAGUAAGAGCUUGCUCUUACGGGUGGCGAGUGGCGGACGGGUGAGGAAUACAUCGGAAUCUACUUUUUCGUGGGGGAUAACGUAGGGAAACUUACGCUAAUACCGCAUACGACCUACGGGUGAAAGCAGGGGAUCUUCAGACCUUGCGCGAUUGAAUGAGCCGAUGUCGGAUUAGCUAGUUGGCGGGGUAAAGGCCCACCAAGGCGACGAUCCGUAGCUGGUCUGAGAGGAUGAUCAGCCACACUGGAACUGAGACACGGCCCAGACUCCUACGGGAGGCAGCAGUGGGGAAUAUUGGACAAUGGGCGCAAGCCUGAUCCAGCCAUACCGCGUGGGUGAAGAAGGCCUUCGGGUUGUAAAGCCCUUUUGUUGGGAAAGAAAAGCAGCAGGUUAAUACCCCGCUGUUCUGACGGUACCCAAAGAAUAAGCACCGGCUAACUUCGUG